CUGUGGCUCCCCUGUCACCAGGAACCCGAGGACUGCUGUGUCAUUGUCCCCAUGUUAAAAGUGGGGUGCGCCAGCGUUGGCUCCGUCUAGAACUGGGUCUUUGUUCUCUCCCGACAAUUUUAUUUAAUUGUCAUAGACUCUGGGUCUGGAGUUCUGUCUCGUCCAGCAAGAGAGCAGAUGCAGGAUUAAACACAAUGGGGUCAAGGCCAUGCAAACAGCAGGAAGGGAGAAGGAAGCGGGUGAGGAGGAGGAGACAGGAGGUCGGCCGGGCUGGCACAGCAUUCGCGCGUUCGCGAGGUUCCAGGAUGACAUCCCAAGAGAUUUCAACCGGAAAACUGGCUACCUUCUCUGUUCAGGUCGCAACAUUGACAUCAAGGACAUUUCUCGUAGAAUAUGCGGGAAAUGGAAGAAAAGACGUUGCACUAAUGGAGACAGAGGCGCGAGAGACGGAGAGAAAGCCAGGUCCUGGUGUGCCCGCUGGGUGCACAUACACGAUCCUCACAGCGACCCCCGACAAGGUCCUGGCCAGCACCUUGCCCCCUGCUUCUCGGCCCUGGCCUGAACGGUUCCCUCCAACCCCAUCAAGACCUCCGGGGCUUGGGCCCGGGCAGGGUGAUUUUAAAAUGUCCCCACGUGAUGCUGAUAUGCGGUCAAAGCCUCAGCCCCCGGGGCAGCGGAAAGACGCCCGGCCCCGCCCCCAUCCCCAAGGACCCCGUCCCCAGCCCCAGCCGACCUCAGGCUCUCAGGCUCCAGCUGCUCUUUUCUUCUUCGGGGGCGUUGCACUCACCUGACCCGUGGUCACCCUUCUUCUCUGUGACCUCUGACUCCUGUCACUGAAGAAGAACCUGCACGCUCCUUGUCCACAUGCACCUGCUGUUCAGUGUCCCUAGAUGCCCCCCCCCCUCCCCAGACCCCUUGUAGAACUCACACCUCCCUCCACGGCCCUGGCCCAGAGCGUCCCCCGCUCAGAGACUCACUACCCACCCCCCUCCAUGAUGCCAUGAAGCAAAUCUCAAACUCCUGACCAUGGCAUCCUGACAUGUUUGGGUAGAUCAUUGAUAUUUAACCAGACAAAUACAAAAUGUAACUAAAAUGAGAGCCAGCAAGCUUUUUUUUUUUUUUUUAACUUGGCACUCUUUGUUUAUGGUGGACCGUCCCCAUGGAAACUGGGGAUAAAAAUAGCUGGCCUGUGUGUGUACCUGGUAAGGUUGUGAUGAGCACACGGGACACUACAAAUGUCCUUAUCCAGGAAGCUGUUGAAUCGCUGAGCUGGGCACUCCCUCCAAGGCCCAAGCCUCACCGACGGGCUUCGAAACGGAGGUGUCGGUGUUUGGGAGGCUCCCCAGCUCGCAUCCUGCUCCCAUCCUUCCAGAUAGCCUCUCUGCUGGCAUCUAGGCCACUGUGCACUCCCAGCAGCCAGGCUGGAAGCCUGUGCUCACUUCUCGUCCGACCCGAGCUCGCCCCACAUGGGGCCACGGCCGCUUGGAAAACUCUCUUUUCUUGGGGCCCCCUGUUCUAUGAAACGGGUUGAUUGUGUCUCCUCCCGUGGCUCCUGCUUCUGUCAGCUUGUGGAAGGGGUCUCGGGUGCCCAGGAGUGGCCUUUGCACACAGCGCCCCUCCCCCACCACUCCUGUGAUUUAUCCCUUGACUGUGAGCUCCUGGAGGGCAGAGGCCACGUUUUAUUAAUACCUAUAACCCAAUAUCGAUACUUUGCCGUUCAAUAAGAGUUUGCUAUGAAUAAAGAAAUGAAUACUGAUUAAAUAUGAUUCAAAAGGCACUUAGGGGAGAGAUGUUCUGUGAGUCAUAAAUAUUCAGAGGCCGAGUAGGAGGCAUCCUUGAGCGCUUCACGGGGCCAAGAAAAGGUUCCUUUACCCCUAAUUUGGCCUUGUGAGAUAACAUAGGUGAUGUGUGACGGUCAUGUGUUUGGCACAAAACCCGUAACUUGAAACGGUCCUUGGACGAGGACCUCAAGGGCCAUAAAUACGCACAGCGCCCUCACUGGUGGAGGCCAGCUCUGCGGCCGGCUCCUAGGUCACCGUGCAGCACUGGACCCGCCAGCCUGGGGCCACCUUCCCCGGGGUUAAGGCGCGGGGAUACUCUGUGGGCCGUGCCCUUGUCCUCACUGCCAACGUCAGAUGGUUAAAAGUCCCCUCUUCCUUCACGGCAUUUUGUGUGUCGACCACCAAUUCACUUAUCCAAGCCUUUUAAAUUCCCCUGCUGCUAAUUAUAGGAUAAGUGGCUUCACGGAUGUGCCUACUGUGAAAAGCUAAGGCCUCCUCGGAAAAGUAGUAAAUGUGCCUCUUCCAAACUAGAGGGAUGUCCCCAAAUCCUGAGGUCCUGGGACAACAGUCAGUCUGUCCACUCUACUCCGAUCUUCGUGGCGUUACAGAAGGCAGUUGCCCUUGAAGGUUUCUUAUUUCUAGGCCGAGAACUGUCUGUCUGGUCUGUUUCCAUCAGUGCCUGGAACUCUGCCUCGCAUCCCAGAGUGGACUUGGCAGGACCCGUUUCGAGGGCGCUCGAGUGUUACAUUUACCUUCAGUGCCUCCUGGAUGACCUGGAACUUUCCACUGCGCUGACUAUACUCCGAAGCCGUGGUUUCUAAGAGCCCAGACAAGCUGUAUUUUCUAUAAUCUGAAGUACCUCCAACCACAUGUGCAAACAGAUCGCAUUCGAGACCCGGCAAAGACCACCUGGACUUUUCAAUUUGCCAAAGUGCAUUCAGAGUCGAACCUUCCUUAUGCCAAGUGGUGCCGAAACCACAGAAUCGCAGGGCAAGAAAGGAUCUUGACAGUCUGAUCCAUUUUCUUCCCUUCAGGGGAAUUAUUUCCCUCGCCCCAGACUGGGCGACAUAAUCCUUGACCUUUGAAGCCCUUCAGAGAAGGUGACCCUGAGUCUGUCGUCGGCGUUCAGUUCUUACCAGAACUGCUCCGUCAGGACACCUGGAUCCAGCAGGCCUACCCUGGAGGAUCCUUUCUGCUUGGAGACCAGGACCAUGAUGAUUCCAACCCCCUGGUCUGUGUUUGUCGGCAG